GACGAACGCUGGCGGCGUGCUUAACACAUGCAAGUCGAACGAUGAAGCGGUGCUUGCACCGUGGUUUAGUGGCGAACGGGUGAGUAAUACGAGAGUGACCUACCUUUGACUCUGGGAUAAGCCUGGGAAACUGGGUCUAAUACCGGAUACGACCAAUCCCUGCAUGGGGUGUUGGUGGCAAGCGUUAUGGAGUGGAUUUAGAUGGGCGCACGGCCUAUCAGCUUGAUGGUGGGGUAAUGGCUUACCAAGGCGACGACGGGUAGCCGGCCUGGGAGGGUGACCGGCCACACGGGGACUGAGACACGGCGCAGACGCCUACGGUAGGCAGCAGUGGGGAGUAUUGCACAAUGGGCGCAAGCCUGAUGCAGCGACGCCGCGUGAGGGAUGACGGCCUUCGGGUUGGAAACCUCUGUUAGCAUCGAAGAAGCGAAAGUGACGGUAGGUGCAGAGAAAGCGCCGGCUAACUACGUG
rnacentral:rRNA from 1 species